UACACUCCUACGGGAGGCAGCAGUGGGGAAUAUUGGACAAUGGGCGCAAGCCUGAUCCAGCCAUGCCGCGUGAGUGAUGAAGGCCCUAGGGUUGUAAAGCUCUUUCACCGGUGAAGAUAAUGACGGUAACCGGAGAAGAAGCCCCGGCUAACUUCGUGCCAGCAGCCGCGGUAAUACGAAGGGGGCUAGCGUUGUUCGGAUUUACUGGGCGUAAAGCGCACGUAGGCGGACUAUUAAGUCAGGGGUGAAAUCCCGGGGCUCAACCCCGGAACUGCCUUUGAUACUGGUAGUCUUGAGUUCGAGAGAGGUGAGUGGAAUUCCGAGUGUAGAGGUGAAAUUCGUAGAUAUUCGGAGGAACACCAGUGGCGAAGGCGGCUCACUGGCUCGAUACUGACGCUGAGGUGCGAAAGCGUGGGGAGCAAACAGGAUUAGAUACCCUUGUAGUCCCAUA
rnacentral:rRNA from 1 species